rnacentral:rRNA from 1 species
CUACGGAGGGUGCGAGCGUUAAUCGGAAUUACUGGGCGUAAAGCGUGCGUAGGCGGUUUGCUAAGUCAGAUGUGAAAGCCCCGGGCUUAACCUGGGAACUGCAUUUGAUACUGGCAGACUAGAGUAUGAUAGAGGGGGGUAGAAUUCCUGGUGUAGCGGUGAAAUGCGUAGAUAUCAGGAGGAAUACCAGUGGCGAAGGCGGCCCCCUGGAUCAAUACUGACGCUGAGGUACGAAAGCGUGGGGAGCGAACAGGAUUAGAAACCCUUGUAGUCC